rnacentral:lncRNA from 1 species
CCUUAUCAAAGAUGGUGGAGAGGGAUGCUUCGACGAUUAUGGAUGGUCAACUCGCUCCAAAGCUGACCGACCAUAUCAGCCUUCCUGCAGAUCAAAAAAUAUCGAGAGGUCUGACUGUCGAGGGUGCACUGGGUGCUUGCUACACCAGCAUCAUUGCUAUGAGUUCUUCUUUUCAUUCUCUUUCCUCUUUUUUCCUUCUAUCCUCCUAUUAGUUUUUCUUUAUCGCCUAAUUUGCCGUUUAGAUGAUCAACUCUUUUAACAUCAUAAAGGAAGCCUUAGCUGAUUAAGGUCGGGUUAGGAUGACUUUCAAUGAUGAGUUAAGGAGGAUAAAGGAGAACUGGGAAAGGGCAGAGGGCGCAAUGUCGGCCGCUGAGCUAAGGCAUGAGAUCACCACCAGAGAAGCCAAAGAUGUGAGGAGGCUGUUGGGAGGAUCCCUCACAAGGGCAGAAUACAGAUCCCCACCCA